rnacentral:lncRNA from 1 species
UGGCCAGAGCUCUCAUCUCCCUGUCACGUGUUGGGGAACCAGGGCCUACUGAAGAAGUGAUUAGAGCACCUGAGCAGGAUAGGCGGCCUGAGCCAGCCCUCCCCCCUUCAGCUGUGACAGGGCCUUGCGGAUGGUGUUCAGCUCCUGGAUCGUGGCUCCUCGGGCUGCCAGCAGCUUGUUGCCAAAUUCCCAACUCUAUUUAAGACACUACACCUUCCCAGCUCCAGUGCACCCGCGUUGGUAAGUGAGGAUAGACGAAGAUCAGCCUCGACUCCUCCCGGAACCAAGUGGAGCUGACAUCACGUCCGGAAUCGGCCAACCGCCAGGUGACCGGAAGUGACGUCGCCCCAGGCUGAACCUGUGAUCUUCCAGAGGGAAAUGUUGCCGCGCAGUGCAAGGUGUAGCAAGAUUAAGGGGCUGCUGUCGCCUGGAUCUGUCUCUGUCCGGGCCAGGAACGACUUCCAAGGACCGUUUAUUUGCUUGAGACGCAAACUCACCUUCCCGCAGCUUCUAGCGCUGGAGACCGACCGGAAGUACUCUCUGUGGGUGGGGAUUAGUCCGGAAGUGGCUGGUCUGAGGUCUCCCUAGAAACCGAAGCCUGGUUUAG